rnacentral:rRNA from 1 species
GACGAACGCUGGCGGCGUGCCUAAUACAUGCAAGUCGAACGCUUCUUUCCUCACGAGUGCUUGCACUCGAUUGGAAAGAGGAGUGGCGGACGGGUGAGUAACACGUGGGUAACCUACCCAUCAGAGGGGGAUAACACUUGGAAACAGGUGCUAAUACCGCAUAACAGUUUAUGCCGCAUGGCAUAAGAGUGAAAGGCGCUUUCGGGUGUCGCUGAGGGAUGGACAGGCGGUGCAUUAGCUAGUUGGCGAGGUAACGACCCACCAAGGCCACGAUGCCUAGCCGACCUGAGAGGGUGAUCGGCCAACCUGGGACCGAGAAACGGCCCAGACUCCUAAGGGAGGCAGGAGUAGGGAAUUUUCGGAAAUGGGCGAAAGUCUGACCGAGCAACGCCGCGUGAGUGAAGAAGGGUUUCGGAUCGGAAAACUCUGUUGUUAGGGAAGAACAAGGACGUUAGUAACUGAACGUCCCUUGACGGUAUCUAACCAGAAAGCCACGGCUAACUACGUG